CAGAGUAGAAAACGAAGCGUCAAGUGUCAAAAAAUGGAAUGUUGUUUUUGGACGAAGGACUUUCAAGUCUGCGAUUUUGUUUUCGCAUUCGCUGC
rnacentral:ncRNA from 1 species